rnacentral:misc_RNA from 1 species
GGAAGCCGGUGCAAGCCCGGCGCGGUCGCGCCACUGUAAUCGGCAGCAAAUGCGUACACAACAGGCUGUACACAAGCCGGAAGCCAGAC